rnacentral:rRNA from 1 species
AUUGUUUAUUUAUGUAUUGUUAAAGCAUUUAAGAACCUAGUAAGAGGGACUGAAGAUUGAUAUAUUGUAGUUUGAUAAGUACUGUAGAGGAAGAUUAUUAAUUAUUUAAAAGUAAAAGUUUUAAUUUGUACCUUUUGCAUCAUGGCUUAGCUAGAUUUAGGCUUUGAAUAUAAGUUUCUCGAAAUCUAAUGAGCUAUCUUUUGUCUAUUAUGUUAGUAAGAUUAAGAGUAGUUGUGGAAUAAAUUUUUUAAAAGAUAAAGAUAGAAAUGAAAUUUUAUUCGUGUUAGAUGAUAGCUAGUUCUCCUGAAAGGUAUAGAAGUGCUCUGAAUUAGAUUUUAGGUAAUUUAUUUAAUUAAAGUAAUUAAUUUUUAAUUUAGGAAAAUUAUUAAGGAUAAGCUUAUUAAUUUGGUUUUAAUUUAAGCGUUUUAUUUAGUGUUAAAUUUAGGCUUGAAGGUAGCUAUAAUAGGGGAUUAUGUUAUAAUUUCAUUUUGUAUAAAAAAUAUAAUGGAUCUGCUUUUUGUUUAAUGGAGUUAACUUAUAAAUAAGUUAUAUAAGUUGUAAAGAUGCUAAGAUGAGUAUUGAUAGGAUAUGAUUUAUAACUAAUAGAUAUUUUAAUUCUUUGUAUAAGAUUUGUAUAAUUAAAACCGUGGAAAGGAAUUCGGCAAAAGGAUAUUCUGCCUGUUUAUCAAAACAUGUCUCCUUGAUGAAAAAAAAUGAGGAGUCGGGCCUGCCCGGUGAUAUGAUUUUAACGGCCGCGGUACUUUGACCGUGCAAAGGUAGCAUAAUCAUUUGCCUUAUAAUUGAAGGCUGGAAUGAAUGGUUUGACAAGAAUAUGACUGUCUCUUCAUGGUUUUAUAGAAUUUAAUUUGUAGGUGAAGAAGCCUAGAUAUAAUUGAAGGACGAGAAGACCCUAUCGAGCUUUAAAAGAAUUAGUAAAUGUAAAAUAAUGUUUAUUAAAAUAUUAAUUACUUGAAAUUUUGGUUGGGGCGACAAAGGAACCAUAGGAGCUUCCUUUAUUAAUAAUUAUGAAUUUUCGGAUAUUGAUCCAAAGGUUAUUUUGAUUAAAGGAAUUAGUUACCGUAGGGAUAACAGCAUAAUCUUUUUUAAGAGUUCUUAUCGAAAAAAGGGUUUGUGACCUCGAUGUUGGACCAGAAUGUCCUGAAGAUGCAGCAGUCUUUAAGGGUUGGUCUGUUCGACCAUUAAAAUUCUACGUGAUCUGAGUUCAGACCGGCGUGAGCCAGGUCAGUUUCUAUCCUCAAUUUUACAUAUAAAUUUAGUACGAAAGGACCAGUUUUAUUGCAAUAUAAUGUAAUAAGUGAAGAAAUAUAAUUAAUGAUUUAGAA